CAAUUUUUCUUGCAGACAAAACGCCAGGUGCCCUGGCUGCUUCGACUGGUAGAGGGGAGCAGUGCUGCCACCCAGUGCCCCCCAUGCGUGGUGUCACAGCUGGCUCUCCGGCUCCGUGUGCUGAAUGCAAGAGUGCGCCGAGCCAGAGUCGAAUUGAAAUGUGUCCAUUAGCAGCGGCAUUGUACGGGCAUCUGCUCUCUGGAGAUGGCAGAGGAUUGUUAUCCCAGUGUAAUCUCCUUUUGUGCCGACAUUAUUUGCCUAUUCAAGGUGGGGAGGAGUCAAUUUUUCUACCAGAAAUAUGGAAAGGAUGCAUAUAGGAACUGUGCUACAAGCAGAGCAGUUCCAGGAGAUUAUUUUUAUGCUAUGCAAACAUCCCACUGAUCAAGUGGCUGCUCCGUAUGAGCCAACAAAUCCAGAAUUGCAUCACAAACAGUUUUGUGGUUACCCUCAGCCUGUGCAGACUGGUAGGUUUGAUUUUAGCCCUGUUUGAAACUGACCCUUGGCAAAACUGUAAAGCAAUGUGAUUAUUUUGCGGAUGGCUUGAUGCUUUGGGCAGGCUGGAAAGAAGCACAAUGACUCCUGCACGUGGCCAGGAUGGAAGGAUGCCCAGGAAUGCAUGAGGAUGCUCUCUGGUAUUCAGCAACCCUUGCAGGGUGCCCCAAGCUGCCCCAUGGGUGCUGUGAGCCCAUGCAACAAGGUGUCCCACAUAGUACCCAGCAAAAGGGUGCGGCAUGGCCCAGACUGGAGGGUUUCCCAGCUAACACCCCCAGCAGCAUGUUGGAAACGAAUUGGCCCUUCUAUGGGGGACACUGGCCCAUGGGAGUCAGUGCAGAGAGAAAUCAAUCCUGGGGAUGCUGGGUGGUUUUGUUUGCUCACUGCGGCGUGACGAGCAAAAUAAAUUCUUUGCAAAGAAAACUCAUUUCAGGAAACCUCGGGGCAUCUGGCUUUGUUCGUCAGUGCAGUGGCUCUAUGAAUCAACUGUAACCGAUCUGAUAUUUAAAAGACAAGGCAGUAAAUAUUAUAUAUUGAAACAUUAUUUUUAUGAGGCUGAAUUUGUUCCCUUUUUAUAUUCCCUGGCAAUGUUUACAGUACAGCACUGAAGCCUCCCCCCGCAGCAGGAAGGAACAACUGGCAGCAUGGGGAGAGGCUGUAAAAGUGCACAACAGAACGGAGAUCCCACACUGAAUCAAACUGGAACUCCAGAAACGUGAUCUUGGUCUUCCCUGAGUAACAGAAAGCAACGUAAUCUUUCCAGGCCUGCCACACUGAGGACUCUCACCUGUGUAGAUUUGUGACCAGAAGGGGGUAAACCCCAGGGUGGAGCUAUUCUGGGCUCAUAUAAGGGCCAGCUACUAAAGAGAGAGCAUCUCUUGAACCUGUGGUUUUCUGAGGGGGUGCUGCAUCACCAGAGAUCCUCUUCACUGUUUUGUCAGAGUCUGACCUCAGGGCGGCAUCUCCCCUGCAUCUGCACACCGAGGGAUUCCAGAACAUUUGAAAGCUUUUGGUGAGGCUCUCUGGUGGUUGUGCACCUCGUCCCCAGUAAGUAGCUAUGAAAGGACAUGUGUAGAACAGCUGGCUGCCCUGCCCAGACAGGGACUGGCCCACUUCCCCACUUUAUCUCUUGGACCCCAGGCGAUAAGUCAAGUUUCCUUGGUACUUUACAUCUCUGUGUGUGUGUGUCUAUCUAUUUGUGUGUUCCUAAGCUUCAUAAAACACCAGUCUUCCUAAUGUGGCAGCAGUCAGUAAAUUUAUUUGCCUCAGCUAAGAAUUGUGGCAUAAGAGAUCUUCUCACAUUUUCUGCAACAUCUCAUGUCCACUGACCUUCAAGAACAGGAAGACUGUGUCUGGCAAAAGUUUCCUACUGUAGUUUUCUCAACUGCCUUUUUCCAUUUUCAGACUCAGAAUAUUUUUCAGUCUUAUCUAGUGCUACUAAUAUCUUCUACAAGAUGAUACCAACAAUAGCAGAUAAGGAUGACUAGCAAUUAUUUUCCCUUUCUUUCAAUUGGAGGCAUAUGAUUCCCUGCUGUCUAGUCCUGCAGAGCAGAUAUAUAAGAAGGUAGGGUAAAUAUGAAAUAAAUGUGGCUGCUCCAGGGAAUGUACGUAUCUUCAUCUGUGAACAAGCAUCUUCCUAUCUCCUUUAUGUGCCAAUCAAAAUGGCAACAAAAAAGCGCAGUCCUGUUCCUCACACAUAACAGUUUAUUUUCCUCAUCAUCUCGAUUACAGUUUUGCAAAAUGAAUUCAUUAUUUGGCUUUUUUUUAGACAUAGCUCUAACUGCCUUGAUCAUUCUUUGUUCUGCAGGGGAUUAUAGAAUCACAGAAUCGUUUGAGUUGGAUCCUUAAAGGCCAUCUAGUCCAGCUCCCCUGCAAUGAACAGGUUUGAGAAUGGGCCCAUCAUGGAGACAAUAACCAGCCCUUCAGUACUAAUGCUGGUAAAAAUCCGAAAUAUGGAGAUGCCACAGAAGAUCUUGCUCAAAUCCAGUAUGUGGAGGUACAGCUUGGAGGGCAGCACACUUGGGUGCAAAUGUCACACUCCCACACUGCGAGAAUCUUCUAAGCUAAAUGAGAUAAAUCCUGACUAUGACAUGGGAAUGCAGGAAAAAGGGAAGGUAGUACAAGUGGGGAAAAAUCAACCAACUUACCCAGUUGCUUUGAAACUACAUUUAUGAUUUAAUAGUACUUUCUCUGUUUUGAAAGAUUUAAAAAAAAAGUCAUCUUAAUAGCUUAGAAAAUUUCCUUUUCUGAAACUCAAAACUCAGGAUCCCCUUCUCAAUUUCACUGCUGUAUUUGACAUUGGAAGAUACAGUGCUAUGACAGAUCUCUUGUUUAAUGUUUCUUUUUGUACCAGAGAGUUGCCAAAGGCAGUUUGAAAUCAACUAAAAAUUGGAGGUCAGAUUCUCGUGUAAGCAGGUCUGGCAUCAUUAAAAACUUCUGAAUCUCAGUGAUUUACACAAGUCAAGAUCAUAGCUUCAGAUUUUUUUGUCUCUAGUCAUGAAACAGGCUAUGUUUCCAAAUAAAGGGCUGGAUUGUGACAGCAUAAAAAAUAAAUCCUUACCCUGCUAAAACCAAUACCAGUGACAGAGGCAUGAGGUAUUAUAUCUUGUGAGCAAAGCAAUCAGCACCAUGUAAACUCUAGGCUUAGUUGCUGAAUGGCAGAAUAAAAGGAUGUGAUUCUCACUGAGUAAUAUUAUUCUACCACACAUACAGUUCAAAUUAAAAAAAAAAUAAAGUAUAAAGGCUUCUGCUGGCAGCUGUGACAACAAAGGGUGACUAGUACAGCUGGAUUUCUCUAACAUUUUCUAGACACAAACAAAACACAGACCAGAUAAAUAGAAGAAAUGUGGAGGAAAGGACAGGCAAAUUAACAUCCCUUGUUGGUCAUGUUAAGUUAGGACUAAGAAGAAGAGCAUUUGAAAAAUGUAAUCUUUAAAAAUGUACUUGUCCUCUUGUUGUUACUCACCUUUACAUGCACAAGACAAAAUACUGCAUAAAGCUGAUGGGAAUCAGAUUAUAUUUCACAAUUAUGUUUAUAUAUAAUCUCUUUGCUUUAGCUAUUUUUCUAUUAAGUAGCAUUCUAUGGCAGAUUACUUCUUUCUGCCUUCUCCUGUCCAUCUCCACUGUAACCCAAUGAGAAGAUGAAUCAGUUAUUCAUAAGGACCUGACAUCAUUUGCAGUGUUUUUCUCCUCCACUUUCAUGCAUCAUCUUCAUUUCUUUAUUGUCAUUCACAUUCCUAUGGUGCUUUCCCUCAAAGGUUGUCCCAAGCCAUUCAGAGAGCAAAGGAAAUUUAUGCUUCUAACAUGGAGCUUGAACAGAACCUUGUUCUGAGUUUCAGAGUACUAAGUAUCAAAAUAACUUCACCUACAGGAAAAACUGAGAGUCAUGUGGGAUGAAAGAGGGUAUAAAGUAAGAGGUAUAAAGUAAGGGUGAAUAUUAAGCCUAGAGAAAGGAAGGGUUCUUUCAAAUCCGCUCUCCUCAUGGACAAUCAAUCAUAUGCACAACACAUACCAUCACACUUACCACAGGAAAACAGUCUGGAAGGAGCACCAUGCAGAUAUGUAGCGUGUCCCAAUGCUACUCUGCAAAUGAAAGAAACCUGUCUUGGAAUCUUCCACCAAAGGAUGUGUUUCAAUCUCCUGUGUGCAAAGCAGCUGUAAAAUUCUACUUUGAGAUUCAAACUCCAAGUUCUGAAUUUCUCUUUUCAUCUGAGAUGAUGAUUC